AACGAACGCUGGCGGCAUGCCUUACACAUGCAAGUCGAACGGCAGCACGGGAGCAAUCCUGGUGGCGAGUGGCGAACGGGUGAGUAAAGUAUCGGAACGUGCCCAGUCGUGGGGGAUAACGUAGCGAAAGUUACGCUAAUACCGCAUACGAUCUAUGGAUGAAAGCGGGGGAUCGCAAGACCUCGCGCGAUUGGAGCGGCCGAUAUCAGAUUAGGUAGUUGGUGGGGUAAAGGCUCACCAAGCCGACGAUCUGUAGCUGGUCUGAGAGGACGACCAGCCACACUGGGACUGAGACACGGCCCAGACUCCUACGGGAGGCAGCAGUGGGGAAUUUUGGACAAUGGGCGAAAGCCUGAUCCAGCCAUGCCGCGUGCAGGAUGAAGGCCUUCGGGUUGUAAACUGCUUUUGUACGGAACGAAAAGGUUUGGCCUAAUAAGCUGAGCUCAUGACGGUACCGUAAGAAUAAGCACCGGCUAACUACGUGCCAGCAGCCGCGGUAA
rnacentral:rRNA from 1 species